rnacentral:rRNA from 1 species
AUUGAACGCUGGCGGCAUGCCUUACACAUGCAAGUCGAACGGCAGCACGGGAGCAAUCCUGGUGGCGAGUGGCGAACGGGUGAGUAAUAUAUCGGAACGUGCCCAGUCGUGGGGAUAACGUAGCGAAAGCUACGCUAAUACCGCAUACGAUCUAUGGAUGAAAGCGGGGGAUCGCAAGACCUCGCGCGAUUGGAGCGGCCGAUAUCAGAUUAGGUAGUUGGUGAGGUAAAGGCUCACCAAGCCGACGAUCUGUAGCUGGUCUGAGAGGACGACCAGCCACACUGGGACUGAGACACGGCCCAGACUCCUACGGGAGGCAGCAGUGGGGAAUCUUGGACAAUGGGCGCAAGCCUGAUCCAGCAAUGCCGCGUGCAGGAUGAAGGCCUUCGGUU